AUUGAACGCUAGCGGGAUGCCUUACACAUGCACGUCGAACGGAGUGGCGAACUGGUGCGUAAUGUAUCGGAACUUGCCCAGUAGCGGGGGAUAACUACGCGAACGCGUAGCUUAUACCGCAUAAUAUUGGCUCGGCCGAUAUCGGAUUAGCUAGAUGGUGGGGGAACGGGUCACCAGAGCGACGAGCCGUAGCUGGUUUGAAAGGACGACCAGCCACACUGGGAAUGAGACACGGCGCAGACUCCUACGGGAGGCAGCAGUGGGGAAUUGUGGACAAGGGGGGAAUCCCUGAUCCAGCCAUCACGCGUGAUCGAUGAAGGCCUUCGGGUUGGAAGGCACUUUUGUCAGGAAAGCGGUACCUGCAGAAUAAGCACCGGCUAACUCCGUGCCAGCAGCCGCGGUAAUAC
rnacentral:rRNA from 1 species